UAGGGAAUAUUGCAAAAUGGGCGAAAGCCCGAUGCAGCAACGCCGCGUGGGCGAUGAAGGCCUUCGGGUCGUAAAGCCCUUUUUGAGGGGAUGAGAAAGGACAGUACCCUCAGAAUAAGCCUCGGCUAACUACGUGCCAGCAGCCGCGGUAAAACGUAGGAGGCGAGCGUUAUCCGGAUUUACUGGGCGUAAAGCGCGUGCAGGCGGAUUGGAGAGUUGGAUGUGAAAGCUCCCGGCUUAACUGGGAGAGGUCGUUCAAUACUUCCAGUCUUGAGUGCAGUAGAGGGAAGUGGAAUUCCGGGUGUAGUGGUGAAAUGCGUAGAUAUCCGGAGGAACACCAGUGGCGAAGGCGGUCAACUGACCCAUAACUGACGCUCAUGCACGAAAGCGUGGGGAGCAAACA
rnacentral:rRNA from 1 species